UAGGGAAUCUUCCGCAAUGGGCGAAAGCCUGACGGAGCAACGCCGCGUGAGUGAUGAAGGUCUUCGGAUCGUAAAACUCUGUUAUUAGGGAAGAACAAAUGUGUAAGUAACUAUGCACGUCUUGACGGUACCUAAUCAGAAAGCCACGGCUAACUACGUGCCAGCAGCCGCGGUAAUACGUAGGUGGCAAGCGUUAUCCGGAAUUAUUGGGCGUAAAGCGCGCGUAGGCGGUUGUUUAAGUCUGAUGUGAAAGCCCACGGCUCAACCGUGGAAGGUCAUUGGAAACUGGAAAACUUGAGUGCAGAAGAAGAAAGUGGAAUUCCAUGUGUAGCGGUGAAAUGCGCAGAGAUAUGGAGGAACACCAGUGGCGAAGGCGACUUUCUGGUCUGUAACUGACGCUGAUGUGCGAAAGCGGGGGGAUCAAACAGG
rnacentral:rRNA from 1 species